rnacentral:rRNA from 1 species
AUGUUGGAAAUCAUAGGCAACAUCCACCAGGACAAUGACAAUAAAGAUUGCUGGCAAUUUCUCUGGAAAGGAAACAAAUACUCCAACAGAAAGAUUUAUCUGCACCUUAUUGGAAACCCACCAAAGGCAGCACCACCAUUUCAGUGGAUUUGGAAAUCAUGCAACUUGCCCAAACAAAAAAAAUUCUUCUGGUUGCUUCUGCUUGAUAGAUUAAAUACUAGAGAUCUACUAAUCAGGAAGAAUUUUCAAAUAGAAAACAGGAGGUGUAUCCUAUGUGAUGAUGAACCCAAUGAAUACCUACAACACCUCUUCUUUGAAUGUGACUUCAGCAGAAAUUUCUGGGCUGCAAUAGGUAUGGAAUGGAAGACAGAUCUUAAUACUAUUGAAAUGCUGAUGGAGGGCAAAAGCAGAGAUAAUAGCUAGGGCUUUAAGGAGAAGAUGAUAGCAGGGUGUUGGAGCAUAUGGAAGCACAGGAAUGGCAUUAUCUUUGACAACAAUGAUAAAAGUAUGACUCACUGCUUAUCAAGUUGCAAAGAGCAUUUUAGCACCAUUAUCAUGAAAGCAAGACCUAGUUUAAAGGAUGUGAUGUAAUCCUGGUUGGAUACAUUGUAA